GAACGCACAUUGCGCCCCUUGGUAUUCCGAGGGGCAUGCCUAUUCGAGCGUCAUUAUCACCCCUCAAGCCUAGCUUGGUGUUGGGGCAUGCCGUCACCGGCAGCCCUCAAAAUCAGUGGCAGUGCUGUCAGGCUCUAAGCGUAGUAAAACCAUCGCUAUGGCGUCCUGGGAGUCCUCGCCAGAACCCCCCAUUUUUUAAUGAUUGACCUCGGAUUAGGUAGGGAUACCCGCUGAACUUAAG
rnacentral:misc_RNA from 1 species